rnacentral:rRNA from 1 species
AGCAGCGAAAGCGACGGAUAGGAGCAAAUAUCCAACGACCCGUCGGUAUCCGAAUGGGGAAACCCACUUAGACAAACUCUAAGUAUCCAUACCCCAACCAAUUAAGGUAUGGAAGGAAACCAGGUGAACUGAAACAUCUAAGUAACCUGAGGAAAAGAAAGAAAACUCGAUUCCCUAAGUAGCGGCGAGCGAACGGGGAAGAGCCUAAAUUAAGAGAAUACAGAAAUUAAGGUUAGAAGAAUUGUUUGGGAAAGCAAGCCGUAGAGAGUGAAAGCCUCGUACUCGAAAACCAAAAGAUCUGCUCUUUAAAAGAGUACCACGGAACACGAGAAAUUUUGUGGGAAGACGGGAGGACCACCUCCCAAGGCUAAAUACUACCUAGUGACCGAUAGCGAAUAGUACCGUGAGGGAAAGGUGAAAAGAACCCCGGGAGGGGAGUGAAAAAGAACCUGAAACCUUAUGCCUACAAGCAGGUAGAGCAUCAAAAAGAUGUAAUACCGUACUUUUUGUAGAACGGGCCAGCGAGUUACGAUAUGUAGCGAGGUUAAGCAUUUAAGAUGCGAAGCCGUAGGGAAACCGAGUCUGAAUAGGGCGAAGAGUUGCAUGUCGUAGACCCGAAACCAGGUGAUCUAUCCAUGUGCAGAGUGAAGUUGAAGUAAGAUUCAAUGGAGGCUCGAACCGGGUAUGGUUUAAAACAUAUCGGAUGACGUGUGGAUAGGGGUGAAAAGCCAAUCGAACCUGGAGAUAGCUGGUUCUCCUCGAAAUAGCUUUAGGGCUAGCCUUAACGUAGUAAUUGAAGGGGGUAGAGCACUGAAUAGUCUAGGGGCGUAUGACGUUACCGAAACUUAUCAAACUCCGAAUACCUUUAAAUUAGCGUUAGGAGUCAGACUAUGUGGGAUAAGCUUCAUAGUCGAAAGGGAAAGAGCCCAGACCACCAGUUAAGGUCCCAAAAUUUAGAUUAAGUGGAAAAGGAUGUAACACUACUUAGACAACCAGGAUGUUGGCUUAGAAGCAGCCACACAUUUAAAGAGUGCGUAAUAGCUCACUGGUCAAGUGGUGAUGCGCCGAAGAUUAUCGGGGCUAAAAUCUAAUACCGAAGCUGUGGAAUGGAAACAUUGGUAGAGGAGCGUUGUGUGAAGGAAGAAGCAGAACUGAAAGGGACUGUGGACAUCACACAAGUGAGAAUGCUGGCAUGAGUAGCGAUAAGGUGAGUGAGAAUCUCACCCGUCGAAAACCUAAGGAUUCCUGGGGAAGGUUCGUCCACCCAGGGUAAGUCGGGACCUAAGCCCAGGCAGAAAUGCGUAAGCGAUGGACAACAGGUAGAAAUUCCUGUACUAUCUCAAGCGAUUGAGAGAGGUGUUGACGCAGAAGGAUAUACUAAGCGCGUGAAAGGUAGAGCGCGUCCAAGUACGUAGGUGGUAGAAGUAGGCAAAUCCGCUUUUACGAUAACACGGAGGUACGAUGGGGAGUGAAAAACAAGUAACGAAGUAGUAGAUUCCACACUGCCAAGAAAAGGCACUAUCGAGCGAAGAGAUACCCGUACCGAAAACCGACACAGGUAGGUGGGGAGAGAAUCCUAAGACGCGCGGAAGAACCUUUGUUAAGGAACUCGGCAAAAUGACCCCGUAACUUCGGGAGAAGGGGUACCAUGAGAUGUAUAUGUUAAACACAAAAAGCAAAGCAUGGUCGCAGAGAAUAGGCCCAAGCGACUGUUUACCAAAAACACAAGUAUCUGCUAAAUCGAAAGAUGAAGUAUAGGUGCUGACACCUGCCCGGUGCUGGAAGGUUAAGGGGAAAUGUUAGGAUUAAUCCAAAGCAUAGAACUUAAGCCCCAGUAAACGGCGGCCGUAACUAUAACGGUCCUAAGGUAGCGAAAUUCCUUGUCGGGUAAGUUCCGACCCGCACGAAAGGUGUAACGAUUUGGGCACUGUCUCAACAAAGGAUCCGGUGAAAUUGUAGUACUCGUGAAGAUGCGAGUUACCCACGGCAGGACGGAAAGACCCCGUGGAGCUUUACUGCAGGCUGACAUUGGAUUUUGGUAUUAAAUGUACAGAAUAGGUGGGAGACGAAGAAGCUAGGGCGCCAGUCUUAGCGGAGUCACCUUUGGGAUACCACCCUUUUAAUGCUAAAGUUCUAACCUGGUACCUUGAAACAGGUACAGGGACACUGUCAGUUGGGCAGUUUGACUGGGGCGGUCGCCUCCAAAAGAGUAACGGAGGCGUUCAAAGGUUCCCUCAGAAUGGUUGGAAAUCAUUCAAAGAGUGCAAAGGCAAAAGGGAGCUUAACUGCGACACCAACAAGUGGAGCAGAUAGGAAACUAGGACUUAGUGAUCCGGUGGUACCGAGUGGAAGGGCCAUCGCUCAACGGAUAAAAGCUACCCCGGGGAUAACAGGCUUAUCUCCCCCAAGAGUUCACAUCGACGGGGAGGUUUGGCACCUCGAUGUCGGCUCGUCUCAUCCUGGGGCUGGAGAAGGUCCCAAGGGUUGGGCUGUUCGCCCAUUAAAGAGGCACGCGAGCUGGGUUCAGAACGUCGUGAGACAGUUCGGUCCCUAUCCGCCGUGGGCGUAAGAAAUUUGAGAGGAGCUGUCCCUAGUACGAGAGGACCGGGAUGGACAGACCGCUGGUGCAUCAGUUGUUUUGCCAAGAGCAUAGCUGAGUAGCUAAGUCUGGAAGGGAUAAGUGCUGAAGGCAUCUAAGCACGAAGCCUCCCUCAAGAUGAGAUUUCUUUUGCAGUAAUGUAGAGAGAUACCAUGAAGAAAAUGUGGUUGAUAGGUCAGAGG